AUCGCCACCAAGCACGAUGCACGAUCGCUCCCAUUCUCUAACGCCUGUCUCUCCAGAUCUACCCCCCAAAAAUUUCUCAUGCUGCGCCGCCAACUCUCCCCGUCUCAUCGACUACUCGAUCCACUAGACGCGCGCGGAGGCGGCCGGUGCUCCGAAUCACGGAUCUCUCGCAUUGUUGGAGUAGCCCGCUUCACGCUCCUGUUCUGCUCUGUGUUCCAUCAGUACAUCUCCAGAUCUCCACAAUUGGCUGAAAGGUCCUUCUACUAUUGCCGAUGAAGAAAUGAUCUGUCUCAAAUGAAGCAAGCCUUCAUUUAUUUGGCAUCACGGUUUGCAAUGAUGCACUUUGUUAGAUCGAUGGCAUGUUUAUUGAAAUUGCUCUUGUGGCAAUAAGGAAAUAAUGUUUUACUCUUCAUCAAAAUUUAUGGUGUACUUCUAACAUUCAAUUGUAUGUGUUAUUUUUGGCGA